rnacentral:lncRNA from 1 species
AGUUGGGAUUUCAGGCACGUGCCACCACACCCAGCCUCCCAGAGUGCGGGGAUUGCAGGCGUGAGCCACUGUGCCCGGCCACAAUGUGCACUUUGGAUGAGGUGGGAGCCAUGGGAGGCUUCUGAGGUGAGGAGGGUGUGCGCUGAUUCAGAUCUCAAGACCUUCUGACUGCGAUGUGGAGAAUGGACUGCAGGGGGCGAUGGUGGAAGCCAGGAGCCCAAUGAGGACACCACCGCCCUGGUUCAGGCCCCAGCUCCUGGAGGACAUUUCGAACACACCGUGAGGGGGAAGGGAAGCUGCUGUGUUGAAGGUGCUUCUGGAAUAGUAUUUUCAUCUCGUCCACUUUUUUUUUUUUUUUUUUGAGACGGAGUCUCGCUCUGUCGCCCAGGCUAGAGUGCAGUUGCGCGAU